rnacentral:lncRNA from 1 species
UUCCCUCAUCCUCUUUUGAAUAACGUUCACGAGAGGACUCUCCGAUAAAUCUCCUACAGCCAAAUUUUCAUCCUGGAGUCUGUCUCUGAAUAAUCCACCCAAGGUGCCAGAAGAGGAGAAAGACCCUGUCAGAGCCAGCGGCUCAUCCCUGUAAUCCCAGCUAGUUGGGAGGCUGAAAAAUGUACGAGUGCAAGUAUCUUUUUCUACAUGAUUUAUUUCCCUUUGCUUAUAUACCCAGUUGUGGGAUUGCUGGAUUGAAUGGUAGUUUUAUCCAGUUCUUUGAAAUUCUUUCAUUAUCUAACUAUAUUAAUUGGUCAAGAUUUUAAACUUUCCCGGUCAUGAUAGAGAGGGCUGGCGCAGGCUGGGCGCAGUGGCUCACGCCUUUGGGCAGGCUGGUCUCGAACUCAUGACCUCAGAUGAUUUGCCUGCCUCAGCUCCCAAAGUGCCGAGAUUACAGGCAUGAGCCACUGCACCGGGUCAAAAGUAAAAUUUUUUAAAAAGCAAACUGGAAACUGAAAUAU